rnacentral:rRNA from 1 species
CAGUCGCCGCGGUAAUACGGAGGAUCCAAGCGUUAUCCGGAAUCAUUGGGUUUAAAGGGUCCGUAGGCGGUCUUGUAAGUCAGUGGUGAAAGCCCAUCGCUCAACGGUGGAACGGCCAUUGAUACUGCAGGACUUGAAUUAUUGGUAAGUAACUAGAAUAUGUAGUGUAGCGGUGAAAUGCUUAGAGAUUACAUGGAAUACCAAUUGCGAAGGCAGGUUACUACCAAUUGAUUGACGCUGAUGGACGAAAGCGUGGGUAGCGAACAGGAUUAGAUACCCCCGUAGUCCCUGUCUCUUAUAC